rnacentral:rRNA from 1 species
GACGAACGCUGGCGGCGUGCUUAACACGUGCAAGUCGAACGGAAAGGCCCUGCUUUUGUGGGGUGCUCGAGUGGCGAACGGGUGAGUAACACGUGAGUAACCUGCCCUUGACUUUGGGAUAACUUCAGGAAACUGGGGCUAAUACCGGAUAGGAGCUCCUGCUGCAUGGUGGGGGUUGGAAAGUUUCGGCGGUUGGGGAUGGACUCGCGGCUUAUCAGCUUGUUGGUGGGGUAGUGGCUUACCAAGGCUUUGACGGGUAGCCGGCCUGAGAGGGUGACCGGCCACAUUGGGACUGAGACACGGCCCAGACUCCUACGGGAGGCAGCAGUGGGGAAUAUUGCACAAUGGGCGGAAGCCUGAUGCAGCAACGCCGCGUGCGGGAUGACGGCCUUCGGGUUGUAAACCGCUUUCGCCUGUGACGAAGCGUGAGUGACGGUAAUGGGUAAAGAAGCACCGGCUAACUACGUG